UUUGGUGCCUUCGGGAACUCUGAGACAGGUGCUGCAUGGCUGUCGUCAGCUCGUGUUGUGAAAUGUUGGGUUAAGUCCCGCAACGAGCGCAACCCUUAUCCUUUGUUGCCAGCGGUCCGGCCGGGAACUCAAAGGAGACUGCCAGUGAUAAACUGGAGGAAGGUGGGGAUGACGUCAAGUCAUCAUGGCCCUUACGAGUAGGGCUACACACGUGCUACAAUGGCGCAUACAAAGAGAAGCGACCUCGCGAGAGCAAGCGGACCUCAUAAAGUGCGUCGUAGUCCGGAUUGGAGUCUGCAACUCGACUCCAUGAAGUCGGAAUCGCUAGUAAUCGUGGAUCAGAAUGCCACGGUGAAUACGUUCCCGGGCCUUGUACACACCGCCCGUCACACCAUGGGAGUGGGUUGCAAAAGAAGUAGGUAGCUUAACCUUCGGGAGGGCGCUUACCACUUUGUGAUUCAUGACUGGGGUGAAGUCGUAACAAGGUAACCGUAGGGGAACCUGCGGUUGGAUCACCUCCUUACCUCAAAGAA
rnacentral:rRNA from 1 species